rnacentral:rRNA from 1 species
AUUGAACGCUGGCGGCAUGCCUUACACAUGCAAGUCGAACGGUAACGCGGGGCAACCUGGCGACGAGUGGCGAACGGGUGAGUAAUAUAUCGGAACGUGCCCAGUCGUGGGGGAUAACGCAGCGAAAGCUGUGCUAAUACCGCAUACGAUCUACGGAUGAAAGCGGGGGAUCGCAAGACCUCGCGCGAUUGGAGCGGCCGAUAUCAGAUUAGCUAGUUGGUGGGGUAAAGGCCCACCAAGGCGACGAUCUGUAGCUGGUCUGAGAGGACGACCAGCCACACUGGAACUGAGACACGGUCCAGACUCCUACGGGAGGCAGCAGUGGGGAAUUUUGGACAAUGGGCGCAAGCCUGAUCCAGCAAUGCCGCGUGCAGGAUGAAGGCCUUCGGGUUGUAAACUGCUUUUGUACGGAACGAAACGGCUCCUUCUAAUACAAGGGGCUAAUGACGGUACCGUAAGAAUAAGCACCGGCUAACUACGUGCCAGCCGCCGCCGUAAGAC